AUACGGAAGGUCCGGGCGUUAUCCGGAUUUAUUGGGUUUAAAGGGAGCGCAGGCGGAGAUGCAAGCGUGACGUCAAAUUUCGGGGCUCAACCCCGUCUCGCGUCGCGAACUGCGUCCCUUGGUUGCGGGAAGGGGAGGCGGAACUCGUGGUGUAGCGGUGAAAUGCAUAGACAUCACGAAGAACUCCGAUCGCGAAGGCAGCCUUCCGGCCCGUCAACGACGCUCAUGCUCGAAGGUGCGGGUAUCAAACAGGAUUAGAUACCCUGGUAGUCCGCACAGUAAACGAUGGACACCCGCGGUUUGGCCUGUAUGGCUGAGCCGCCAAGCGAAAGCGUUAAGUGUCCCACCUGGGGAGUACGCCGGCAACGGUGAAACUCAAAGGAAUUGACGGGG
rnacentral:rRNA from 1 species